rnacentral:rRNA from 1 species
GUGAGCUCGUGAGCGGCGGAGGGUGAGUAACGCGUGGGAAUAUGCCCUUCUCUACGGAAUAGCCUCGGGAAACUGAGAGUAAUACCGUAUACGCCCUUCGGGGGAAAGAUUUAUCGGAGAAGGAUUAGCCCGCGUUAGAUUAGGUAGUUGGUGGGGUAAUGGCCUACCAAGCCUACGAUCUAUAGCUGGUUUGAGAGGAUGAUCAGCCACACUGGGACUGAGACACGGCCCAGACUCCUACGGGAGGCAGCAGUAGGGAAUCUUAGACAAUGGACGCAAGUCUGAUCUAGCCAUGCCGCGUGUGUGACGAAGGCCUUAGGGUCGUAAAGCACUUUCGCCAGAGAUGAUAAUGACAGUAUCUGGUAAAGAAACCCCGGCUAACUCCGUGCCAGCAGCCGCGGUAAUACGGAGGGGGUUAGCGUUGUUCGGAAUUACUGGGCGUAAAGCGCGCGUAGGCGGACUAUUAAGUCAGGGGUGAAAUCCCGGGGCUCAACCCCGGAACUGCCCUUGAUACUGGUAGUCUUGAGUUCGAGAGAGGUGAGUAGAAUUCCGAGUGUAGAGGUGAAAUUCGUAGAUAUUCGGAGGAAUACCAGUGGCGAAGGCGGCUCACUGGCUCGAUACUGACGCUGAGGUGCGAAAGUGUGGGGAGC